rnacentral:rRNA from 1 species
CAAGAUUAAGCCAUGCAUGUCUAAGUACAAGCCCUAGUAGGGCGAAACCGCAGAAGGCUCAUUAAAUCAGUCUGAAUCUAUAGGCAAUUGUUGGAAGCGAUUCUAUCGUUUUUUACUUGGAUAACUGUGGUAAUUCUAUAGCUAAUACAUGCUCACUCGUGGUCCUCCUGAAUCGUCUCCGGACGAGAAGACCGCUAUUGUUACACACAAAGCACUGAAUUUCAUUGGAAUUCAAGGAAAACAGAUGAAUCACAACAAAUUAGCCAAGCGUAUAGUCUUGCACUGACGCUGUACCUUUCGAGCGACUGCCUUAUCAGCUUUCGAUUGUAGGGUAUUGGCCUACAAUGGCGAUAACGGGUAACGGGGAAUCAGGGUUCGAUUCCGGAGAGGGAGCCUGAGAAACGGCUACCACAUCCAAGGAAG